AGUGAACGCUGGCGGUAGGCCUAACACAUGCAAGUCGAACGGCAGCACAGUAAGAGCUUGCUCUUACGGGUGGCGAGUGGCGGACGGGUGAGGAAUACAUCGGAAUCUACUUUUUCGUGGGGGAUAACGGAGGGAAACUUACGCUAAUACCGCAUACGACCUACGGGUGAAAGCAGGGGAUCUUCGGACCUUUCGCGAUUGAAUGAGCCGAUGUCGGAUUAGCUAGUUGGCUGGGUAAAGGCCCACCAAGGCGACGAUCCGUAGCUGGUCUGAGAGGAUGAUCAGCCACACUGGAACUGAGACACGGUCCAGACUCCUACGGGAGGCAGCAGUGGGGAAUAUUGGACAAUGGGCGCAAGCCUGAUCCAGCCAUACCGCGUGGGUGAAGAAGGCCUUCGGGUUGUAAAGCCCUUUUGUUGGGAAAGAAAAGCAGCAGGUUAAUACCCCGCUGUUCUGACGGUACCCAAAGAAUAAGCACCGGCUAACUUCGUG
rnacentral:rRNA from 1 species